UGGGGAAUAUUGGACAAUGGGCGAAAGCCUGAUCCAGCCAUGCCGCGUGUGUGAAGAAGGUCUUCGGAUUGUAAAGCACUUUAAGUUGGGAGGAAGGGCAGUAAGCUAAUACCUUGCUGUUUUGACGUUACCGACAGAAUAAGCACCGGCUAACUCUGCGCCAG
rnacentral:rRNA from 1 species